rnacentral:lncRNA from 1 species
GCUGCCACCCGUUAUAUGAGAAAGGUCAGAAGAUAUUCCCAUGACACAUACUCUCUGAUAGUCAUCUGUGACGAGCUGGACAUCACUACUGCCGGUCAUCUGUGAUGGGCCGGACAUCACUACUGCUUUGUGAGUUGAAGCAUUAGAUGAAACCAUAAUAUUUACUGCUGCACAUAUGCUCACUGUCAGUAUAAUAUAUUUCAAAGCAGCCUCCUGCUAUGAUGGCGAGGGGAAGGGAGAAACCAGGAAGGGAAAGUGUCAAGGUUUAUUCGGUGUGUCAGCUAAAAAGAGCAACAAGCAACUCACUUGUUUCUAGAAUACCCUUGUGAGUGAGGUGAAUUACACUGAAACUUGUUUUGAAAUAAAGAAAUUGCUGCUUGAGAAAGCAGCCUCAUGGCACUGGGAACAAAUAUUAACAAAUAAU